rnacentral:rRNA from 1 species
GAUGAACGCUAGCUACAGGCUUAACACAUGCAAGUCGAGGGAAAACGACAACGAAAGCUUGCUUUUGAUGGGCGUCGACCGGCGCACGGGUGAGUAACGCGUAUCCAACCUGCCCACCACUUGGGGAUAACCUUGCGAAAGUAAGACUAAUACCCAAUGACGUCUCUAGAAGACAUCUGAAAGAGAUUAAAGAUUUAUCGGUGAUGGAUGGGGAUGCGUCUGAUUAGCAUGUUGGCGGGGUAACGGCCCACCAAGGCGACGAUCAGUAGGGGUUCUGAGAGGAAGGUCCCCCACAUUGGAACUGAGACACGGUCCAAACUCCUACGGGAGGCAGCAGUGAGGAAUAUUGGUCAAUGGGCGAGAGCCUGAACCAGCCAAGUAGCGUGCAGGAUGACGGCCCUAUGGGUUGUAAACUGCUUUUAUAAGGGAAUAAAGUGAGUCUCGUGAGACUUUUUGCAUGUACCUUAUGAAUAAGGACCGGCUAAUUCCGUGCCAGCCGCCGCCGUAA